ACUUAUAAGGCCGGUAACGAUUUUAGAGCAGAAAUGUAAAAUUGUUAGAUUUAGUCGUUGAAAUUGUACACCUUUUGUUACGUAAUAUCUAAAUAACAAGUACCUACCAAUUUAUUGGUUUCUAUUAGCACGUCUUCUCAUCUUGCCUUUUAAUGAUGAGGUCGCAAGCGUGCGUCACCGGUAAUAUAUGACGAGAAGGGGCAGUUUUUAAAAAUUCAUCAAAAAAUUAUGGUGGUAAAUUAUACAAAAUGAUGUAUAAGAACAGUUUCAGAAAAUGUUGUAGAUUGUUUAAGUAUCAAAAUUACGUUGAAAUUAAGUCGAUUUUCAGAGACAUUGUCACUUGUUUUGAAGUAAUUUCUAGUGAAAAUUGGUUUCGUCUAACUUUAAUUUACACUACUUCAAAGUCAUAAUAACAAAAAUGCGGUCUAUUAAAGGUGGAGCACAGGAUAUGUGUAAUACAAAAUUAUCAUUUUUAGCAGUCCAAACUUUACGAAAUUUACAAAUAAGAUCGACAAAAUCAGUGCUUUACGCGCGUUUACCUAAACGUCCAUCAGAAAAAAAAACAUUCCUAAUUUA